UACGGGGGGAGCAAGCGUUGUUCGGAUUUACUGGGCGUAAAGGGCGCGUAGGCGGUCAGCACAAGUCAGUUGUGAAAUCUCCGAGCUUAACUCGGAACGGUCAACUGAUACUGUGCGACUAGAGUGCGGAAGGGGCAACUGGAAUUCUCGGUGUAGCGGUGAAAUGCGUAGAUACCGAGAGGAACACCUGCGGCGAAGGCGGGUUGCUGGGCCGACACUGACGCUGAUGCGCGAAAGCCAGGGGAGCGAACGGG
rnacentral:rRNA from 1 species